rnacentral:rRNA from 1 species
UUAAAUUGAGAGUUUGAUCAUGGCUCAGAUUGAACGCUGGCGGCAGGCCUAACACAUGCAAGUCGAGCGGAAACGAGUUAUCUGAACCUUCGGGGAACGAUAACGGCGUCGAGCGGCGGACGGGUGAGUAAUGCC